rnacentral:rRNA from 1 species
UACGGGGGGGGGCAAGCGUUGUUCGGAAUUACUGGGCGUAAAGGGCUGGUAGGCGGCCAACUAAGUCGGAUGUGAAAUCCCCAGGCUUAACCUGGGAACUGCAUCCGAUACUGGUCGGCUUGAAUCCGGGAGAGGGAUGCAGAAUUCCAGGUGUAGCGGUGAAAUGCGUAGAUAUCGGGAGGAACACCAGUGGCGAAGGCGACUACCUGGCCUGUUCUUGACGCUGAGGCGCGAAAGCUGAGGGAGCAAACGGG